rnacentral:rRNA from 1 species
GAUGAACGCUGGCGGCGUGCCUAAUACAUGCAAGUCGAGCGAACAGACGAGGAGCUUGCUCCUCUGACGUUAGCGGCGGACGGGUGAGUAACACGUGGAUAACCUACCUAUAAUACUGGGAUAACUUCGGGAAACCGGAGCUAAUACCGGAUAAUAUAUUGAACCGCAUGGUUCAAUAGUGAAAGACGGUUUUGCUGUCACUUAUAGAUGGAUCCGCGCCGCAUUAGCUAGUUGGUAAGGUAACGGCUUACCAAGGCAACGAUGCGUAGCCGACCUGAGAGGGUGAUCAGCCACACUGGAACUGAGACACGGUCCAGACUCCUACGGGAGGCAGCAGUAGGGAAUCUUCCGCAAUGGGCGAAAGCCUGACGGAGCAACGCCGCGUGAGUGAUGAAGGUCUUCGGGUCGUAAAACUCUGUUAUUAGGGAAGAACAAAUGUGUAAGUAACUAUGCACGUCUUGACGGUACCUAAUCAGAAAGCCACGGCUAACUACGUG